GGGGUGGUAGUUAAGUUGGUUAUAACGCCGGCCUGUCACGCCGGAGGCCGAGGGUUCAAGUCCCUUCCACCCCGUCA
rnacentral:tRNA from 1 species